rnacentral:rRNA from 1 species
UACGGGGGGGGCAAGCGUUGUUCGGAAUUACUGGGCGUAAAGGGUGCGUAGGCGGCUUUCUAAGUUGGAUGUGAAAACUCUGGGCUCAACCCAGAGACUGCAUCCAAAACUGGAGAGCUUGGGUUCUGGAGGGGAAAGCGGAAUUCCUGGUGUAGCGGUGAAAUGCGUAGAUAUUGGGAGGAACACCAGUGGCGAAGGCGGCUACCUGGACCGGUUCUGACGCUGAUGCGCGAAAGCGUGGGUAGCAAACAGG